UACGUAGGCAGCGAGCGUUGUUCGGAAUUACUGGGCGUAAAGAGUGCGUAGGCGGUGCUCUAAGUUCGGUGUGAAAUCUCCUGGCUCAACUGGGAGGGUGCGCCGGAAACUGGAGUGCUUGAGCGUGGGAGAGGAAAGCGGAAUUCCUGGUGUAGCGGUGAAAUGCGUAGAUAUCAGGAGGAACACCUGUGGUGUAGACGGCUUUCUGGACCAUUGCUGACGCUGAGACACGAAAGCGUGGGUAGCAAACAGG
rnacentral:rRNA from 1 species